rnacentral:rRNA from 1 species
GUUAUAUGGUCAAGCGAGUAAGCGUACACGGUGGAUGCCUAGGCGGUAGGAGGCGAUGAAGGACGUGGUAGCCUGCGAUAAGCCUCGGGGAGCCGGCAAACAGGCUUUGAUCCGGGGAUUUCCGAAUGGGGAAACCCGCCCCUUUUCAGGGGCAUCCCGCUUUGCGGGAGGCGAACCCGGGGAACUGAAACAUCUAAGUACCCGGAGGAAAAGAAAUCAAUCGAGAUUCCCUCAGUAGCGGCGAGCGAACGGGGAACAGCCUGGCACGAUUUAGCCAGUGCCCUAGUGGAACGGUCUGGAAAGUCCGACCGCAGAGGGUGAUAGUCCCGUACACGAAAGGGUGCUGGUGGAACUAGGCGUGCGAACAAGUAGGUCGGGACACGUGUUAUCCUGACUGAAGAUGGGGGGACCAUCCUCCAAGGCUAAAUACUCCCUACCGACCGAUAGUGAACCAGUACCGUGAGGGAAAGGCGAAAAGAACCCCGG